UGCGAACAACGGCUCACUUCA
ensembl:piRNA 21ur-14818 ncRNA